UGUGAUGCGUUGCCUGUCCCCUGCUUGUCUGGCUAGCGAUUGUUAGGUGUUUUGCAAGUGGCUUGUCAUGAAUAGUGGGUGUGUCUUCUCCUCCCUCUAUAAGGGCCAAAGGGUGUCAGUGGGAGGCAGAGUGUUGGAGACGGGAGACGGCAGAUGGUACUGCAACUGGCAGUGUCAGAAUAGGAGAAGGAGGAGGCGGUGGUGGUGAAGGAGGCUCUGGCGGAGGAGGAGGCGGAGGACAAGGAGGAGGAGGCGGUGGAAAAGGAGAAAGAGGCGGUGGACGAGGAGGAAGAGGCAGUGUACAAGGCCAAAGGGUGUCAGUGGGAGGCAGAGUGUUGGAGACGGGAGACGGCAGAUGGUACUGCAACUGGCAGUGUCAGAAU